rnacentral:rRNA from 1 species
UACGUAGGGACCAAGCGUUGUUCGGAUUUACUGGGCGUAAAGGGCGCGUAGGCGGCAAUUCAAGUCAUCUGUGAAAUCUCCGGGCUUAACUCGGAACGGUCAGAUGAUACUGCUUUGCUAGAGUGCGGAAGGGGCAAUCGGAAUUCUUGGUGUAGCGGUGAAAUGCGUAGAUAUCAAGAGGAACCCCUGAGGUGAAGACGGGUUGCUGGGCCGACACUGACGCUGAGUGCGCGAAAGCCAGGGGAGCAAACGGG